rnacentral:lncRNA from 1 species
AUAAUGUACAUGUAACUUUAAUUUUGUCAUUAUUUGACUUUGCUCUUUUUUAUUUUUUAGACUGAUACUGAAGAGAUUGUUUCUGAUGAAGUUGCUGCUACAAAAAAGAAGUCCAAGAAGAAGAAGGGAGGAGGAAGUGGUGGUGGUGGUGCUAGUGGUCCAGUCACUAAAACUACAUCUGCUGGAAAAGACUUGUCUCCAGGAAAGUUAUGGAAACUGUUAGUGGAAGAUGUACUUCAGCAUUUCCUGUACACAUUGGAAUAUAAUUCUGCAACUCACAUGUGUACUACUUGUGGUGUUAGCAGAGUCUCUCUUCUCAGGGAAUUCUGUAACAAAACAGGAGUACAGAUUACAUUGAAGGAUUACAAAUUUUCCUUGACUGCUCCAUUGAAUGAAGGUGAUCUUGCCUGUAUUGUACCUGUUGUUAAGCACACUGAUUUUAAACCUCUUGAAGCCUCUGGUUUGUAUGAGUUGGCUCAGGUUCAGUUGCAGUCUGGUAAUAUUGAAGUUGCUCUUGACUAUCUAUCUGGAGCUGUGCAAUAGUUUGCUCAAGUCUUUGGGCCACAACAUGUCAACAUAGCUAACUGUUAUAAAGUUAUUGCAUGAAUUCAUCAUGCUCUAGGUGACAG